rnacentral:rRNA from 1 species
GUUGACCUCGGAUCAGGUAGGACUACCCGCUGAACUUAAGCAU